GUUUGCACUUAUCGGGGAAGGGUGAGAACCUUCGAUUAAGGUUCGACUCGAGCGAAAGCGAGAGAACGUUGCCAACGGCAACGGCCCGUAGGGUGAGG
rnacentral:sRNA from 1 species